rnacentral:rRNA from 1 species
UACGGGGGGGGCAAGCGUUGUUCGGAAUUACUGGGCGUAAAGGGCUCGUAGGCGGCCAACUAAGUCAGACGUGAAAUUCCUCGGCUUAACCGGGGAACUGCAUCUGAUACUGGAUGGCUUGAGUUCGGGAGAGGGAUGCGGAAUUCCAGGUGUAGCGGUGAAAUUCGUAGAUAUUCGGCGGAACACCAGUGGCGAAGGCGACUCACUGGCCCGAUACUGACGCUGAUGCGCGAAAGCGUGGGGAGCAAACAGG